rnacentral:rRNA from 1 species
UGCGUAGGUGGUGAGGUAAGUCGGAUGUGAAAUCUCCGGGCUCAACCCGGAAAUGGCAUUGGAAACUACCUUGCUGGAGGAUUUGAGGGGGGAUUGGAAUACUUGGUGUAGCAGUGAAAUGCGUAGAUAUCAAGUGGAACACCAGUGGCGAAGGCGAAUCCCUGGAAAAUACCUGACACUGAGGCACGAAAGCUAGGGGAGCAAACAGGAUUAGAUACCCUGGUAGUCCUAGCCCUAAACGGUGCUUGCUUGCUGUAAGAGGAAUCGACCCCUCUUGUGGCGGAGCUAACGCGUUAAGCAAGCCGCCUGGGAAGUACGGUCGCAAGAUUAAA